rnacentral:rRNA from 1 species
UACGGGGGGAGCAAGCGUUGUUCGGAUUUACUGGGCGUAAAGGGCGCGUAGGCGGUCAGCACAAGUCAGUUGUGAAAUCUCCGGGCUUAACUCGGAAAGGUCAACUGAUACUGUGCGACUAGAGUGCAGAAGGGGCAACUGGAAUUCUCGGUGUAGCGGUGAAAUGCUUAGAUAUGUCAUAGAACACCGAUUGCGAAGGCAGCUCACAAAACUGUAACUGACGCUGAGGCACGAAAGCAUGGGGAUCGAACAGG